rnacentral:misc_RNA from 1 species
GAUGAAGAACGUAGCGAAAUGCGAUACUUGGUGUGAAUUGCAGAAUCCCGUGAACCAUCGAGUCUUUGAACGCAAGUUGCGCCCGAAGCCAUCAGGUUGAGGGCACGUCUGCCUGGGCGUCACAUAUCGUUGCCCAAUGCCUAUUCAGUGCAAUAGGAAUUUCUAGGGCGAAUGAUGGCUUCCCGUGAGCGUUGUUGCCUCGCGGUUGGUUGAAAAUCGAGUCCUUGGUAGGGUGUGCCAUGGUAGAUGGUGGUCGAGUUAGAACGAUACCGAUCAUGUGCAUGCUCCCCAAAAUAUGGCCUCUAUGACCCACACGCGUCUUUUGACGCUCAUGACGAGACCUCAGGUCAGGCGGGGCUACCCGCUGAAUUUAAGCAUAUCAAUAAGCGGAGGA